UUUCUAUGGAGAGUUUGAUCCUGGCUCAGGACGAAC
rnacentral:rRNA from 1 species